UGGGGAAUAUUGCACAAUGGGCGCAAGCCUGAUGCAGCCAUGCCGCGUGUAUGAAGAAGGCCUUCGGGUUGUAAAGUACUUUCAGCGAGGAGGAAGGCGGUAAGGUUUAUAACCUUAUCGAUUGACGUUACUCGCAGAAGAAGCACCGGCUAACUCCGUGCCAGCAGCCGCGGUAAUACGGAGGGUGCAAGCGUUAAUCGGAAUUACUGGGCGUAAAGCGCACGCAGGCGGUCUGUCAAGUCGGAUGUGAAAUCCCCGGGCUCAACCUGGGAACUGCAUUCGAAACUGGCAGGCUAGAGUCUUGUAGAGGGGGGUAGAAUUCCAGGUGUAGCGGUGAAAUGCGUAGAGAUCUGGAGGAAUACCGGUGGCGAAGGCGGCCCCCUGGACAAAGACUGACGCUCAGGUGCGAAAGCGUGGGGAGCAAACA
rnacentral:rRNA from 1 species